rnacentral:rRNA from 1 species
GAUGAACGCUGGCGGCGUGCCUAAUACAUGCAAGUCGAGCGAAUGGAUUAAGAGCUUGCUCUUAUGAAGUUAGCGGCGGACGGGUGAGUAACACGUGGGUAACCUGCCCAUAAGACUGGGAUAACUCCGGGAAACCGGGGCUAAUACCGGAUAACAUUUUGAACCGCAUGGUUCGAAAUUGAAAGGCGGCUUCGGCUGUCACUUAUGGAUGGACCCGCGUCGCAUUAUCGAGUGGGUGAGGUAACGGCUCACCAAGGCAACGAUGCGUAGCCGACCUGAGAGGGUGAUCGGCCACACUGGGACUGAGACACGGCCCAGACUCCUACGGGAGGCAGCAGUAGGGAAUCUUCCGCAAUGGACGAAAGUCUGACGGAGCAACGCCGCGUGAGUGAUGAAGGCUUUCGGGUCGUAAAACUCUGUUGUUAGGGAAGAACAAGUGCUAGUUGAAUAAGCUGGCACCUUGACGGUACCUAACCAGAAAGCCACGGCUAACUACGUGCCAGCCGCCGCAGUAA